rnacentral:rRNA from 1 species
AGGUUAUCUAUUUAAUUCUGGUUGUAGGAGGAGGAAAAAAGGCGCUUUUAUAGGGCUGUUUUAUGUUUAUGGUGUAGGAGAUAAAUUUCUACGGGCUUAGCGGUUAGAUCUUGGGGUUUGGAGUAAUCCGGAGCAGGGCCUUUUUUAUUAGGAGUGGUUAAUUCUCAGUGCCAGCAGCUGCGGUUAAUCUGUUAGCUUUAUUCUUCUGGUGUUUGGUUGAAAGUUUUUGAGAGUUAUUUUGCAAGUUUAGGUAGAAUUUUGUUGUUUUUGAUACGUGCUCUCAAGAGUUUGGUUCAUUUUUUAAGAAAAGGAUUAGAUACCCUUGUAUUGGAUGGUGGAUUUUUUUUCCUUGGUGUAAACUAAAAGGAUUUGGCAGCCGAUGAGGUUCUUCCGGGGGAAUGUGUAGCGUAAAAGAUGGUCCGCUUAUUAGAUUACCCUUUUUAGUUUUGUUAGUGUAUAUCCGGUUUAAGAUUUGUGGUUAUUGCUACUGAGUGUAACUUAUUAGUUUAAGCCAGGUCUAUGUGCUGCUUAUGUUGGGGGGUUUUAUGCGUUACUUUGUUAAAAGAGGCUUUUUGGAAAGCUGGUCUGUAUUUAGGACUCGGAAGUAGGCAUCUAUUAAUUAGUUUGUUGUGUCGAAGCUGGAUUUAGUUGGGGUACACACCGCCCGUCACCCAGGGCGUUAGCUGUGGUAAGUCGUAACAUGGUAGUGCUGGGGGAACCGAGCGCUAGUAGAUUUUAGCUGUUUAUUGGCAGAUCUGUU